UCCCUCCUCUCUUGCCGUUGUUUUUUCCUGUUUGCUUCUGAUUCUGGUCUACUGAGAGGUCAUGCAGCAGUUACUCUUUUCUCUUUGCCUUGGGUAGUUUUUGAAGGUCUAAGUCUUUUUACAAAAUUGGAAAGAUCCUUACUAAAGGCCUCUCUCUA